AAAUGAGUAGAUUAUACUUUAUAGAACUUGAGGGGAAAAGUUUAGAAGUUCAUGUUUGGGAAGGUUCAUGACAUCUGCACAAACAGUUGAAAUCCUUGAACUGCAAUAAAUAGAAAGGACCUUCACCUUUUAGUAUGGAUAUAAACAACGAGCAUAAAGUUAAAUCAAUAGUAUGUGAUAAAUUUUACUUAUAUGAGUUGAGUAUAAGAACUAUAACAAACAAUAAGAUUAUAUACAAUUUACAAAACUACAACGAGGAUUCCAUCAAAUUUGUGUAAAUCGUCAUAUCGCACACAAGUGAUCGAUAUGUUAUAACAAUUGGAUUGAAUAUUCGAUGUACAUGUAUGAUGACAGCUCAUUGAUUAUCUACUAUACAAAGAUCGAAUAAAAUAGUGAUGAUUGAUGCAAGUUAGAGAGAAAUCUUACCAAGGAGGAAGCUAUAGUCGGAGUCGGAGGAGGUGGUAGUCGGAAUCGGAGGAAGGAGUAGUUGGAUUUAAAGGAAUCUUGUUGUGGUUGCAGGACGAUUUAGAGAAAGCUGUAACGCUUGUUAAUCUGCAACGCUUGUAAACUCUUAUGUAGGAGGAGAACGACCAAGAAACGGUGGU
rnacentral:lncRNA from 1 species